rnacentral:rRNA from 1 species
GAUGAACGCUAGCGACAGGCCUAACACAUGCAAGUCGAGGGGCAGCACGAGGAGCAAUCCGAGGUGGCGACCGGCGCACGGGUGCGUAACGCGUAUGUAACCUGCCCCUAAGCGGGGGAUAACCCGGGGAAAUCCGGACUAAUACCCCAUGGCGCGGGGAGGGGUCCUCCCCUCCCCGCUAAAGAAUCUCGCUUAGGGAUGGGCAUGCGUAUGAUUAGCUGGUUGGCGGGGUAACGGCCCACCAAGGCAACGAUCAUUAGGGGUUCUGAGAGGAAGGCCCCCCACACUGGCACUGAGACACGGGCCAGACUCCUACGGGAGGCAGCAGUGAGGAAUAUUGGUCAAUGGGCGGUAGCCUGAACCAGCCAAGUCGCGUGAGGGACUAAGGCCCUACGGGUCGUAAACCUCUUUUGCGGGGGGACAAAAGGCGCCACGCGUGGCGCGCAUUGCGGGUACCCCGCGAAUAAGGAUCGGCUAACUCCGUGCCAGCCGCCGCGGUAACAC